UACGGAGGAUGCAAGCGUUAUCCGGAAUGAUUGGGCGUAAAGCGUCCGCAGGUGGCAAUGUAAGUCUGCUGUUAAAGAGUCUAGCUCAACUAGAUAAAAGCAGUGGAAACUACAUAGCUAGAGUACGUUCGGGGCAGAGGGAAUUCCUGGUGUAGCGGUGAAAUGCGUAGAGAUCAGGAAGAACACCGGUGGCGAAAGCGCUCUGCUAGGCCGCAACUGACACUCAUGGACGAAAGCUAGGGGAGCGAAUGGG
rnacentral:rRNA from 1 species